rnacentral:rRNA from 1 species
UACAGAGGGUGCGAGCGUUAAUCGGAAUUACUGGGCGUAAAGCGCGCGUAGGCGGCUUUGCAAGUCGGAUGUGAAAUCCCCAGGCUUAACCUGGGAACUGCAUCCGAUACUGGAUGGCUUGAAUCCGGGAGAGGGAUGCGGAAUUCCAGGUGUAGCGGUGAAAUGCGUAGAUAUCUGGAGGAACACCGGUGGCGAAGGCGGCAUCCUGGACCGGCAUUGACGCUGAGGAGCGAAAGCCAGGGGAGCAAAGCGGGG